UAGUGGUCUGUGUGUGAAAUGUCAGGUCGUAGUGGUGUAUGGUGAAAAUGUCAGGCUGUAGUGGUCAAGGGUGAAAAUGUCAGGCUGUAGUGGUCAAGGGUGAAAAUGUCAGGUUGUAGUGGUCUGUGGUGAAAAAUGUCAGGCUGUAGUGGUCAAGGGUGAAAAUGUCAGGUCGUAGUGGUGUAUGGUGAAAACGUCAGGUCGUAGUGGUCAGGGUGAAAAUGUCAGGCUGUAGUGGUCUGUGGUGAAAAUGUCAGGCUGUAGUGGUCUGUGGUGAAAAUGUCAGGCUGUAGUGGUCUGUGGUGAAAAUGUCAGGCUGUAGUGGUGUAUGGUGAAAAUGUCAGGCUGUAGUGGUCUGUGGUGAAAAUGUCAGGCUGUAGUGGUGUAUGGUGAAAAUGUCAGGUCGUAGUGGUCAAGGGUGAAAAUGUCAGGCUGUAGUGGUCUGUGGUGAAAAUGUCAGGUCGUAGUGGUGGGAGUGUUUGAACAGACACAAUUCUAGUGACAAACUGUCUGGAGAUUACAGCCCCACCCGUCAAGCGCGAAAACAACCGUGUUCUUGCAAAGUAAAGAAUGAGGGGAAAAAAAUAAAAUGGCCGAGUGUUGGCUCUGGUAGAGAACGAAACAAACAUCAUGUUCAGGCAUGGUCCUAUAGAGAAGUAGUCAUCUUAAUAAACACUGAAGUGUUCACUACAAUAAACAUGAGUCAUUCUCUCUCUCUUCCUCUUUCUUCCAGAUCUUCUGGUUUGUCCUUUAUUUCUCCUCGGGAAGUGAUCACGAGUGCUGGAAUUAACCCUCUUUCACUGUGCUGCUUGGAACGGACUGCCACAC
ensembl:lncRNA